rnacentral:lncRNA from 1 species
ACACACACACACACACACACACACACACACACACACUCUUUUGGUAAGGGAAAAUGAAUUGUUCUGGGGAGGUACCUGAUCAGACAGACAAAGCGGAUAAGGAAGUGACAUAGGCAUUGACGUACAGGUAACUGACAAAAUAAAGGAAACACCAACAUAGUGUCUUAAUAGGGCGUUGGGCCACUACAAGCCACCACAAAAACUUCAAUGCGCCUUGGCAGAGAUUCUACAAAGGUCUGGAACUCUAUUGAUGGGAUGCGACACCUGUGGAGACAAAUCCGAUUCAAAAGUCAAACGGGCGCAACAUAGCUUGCGCAAGCAAGAUCAAACAUCAUUGCACAAGCAAACACUUGAGCUGAGAGAGAAGAAAUGUGGUCGAGCGAGCAGAGGACGGGUCCCAUGAGCGCAGGCAAGCAUGAUGGCUAUGGCUUGCUGAUAGCAUCUGAUCUGAUGAGACUCCCUGGGGUCUAUUUUAAAACCUCUACGGGAUCGGUGUCCCCCCCCACCGGACAGUUGAGCUAACGUGUGCUAAUGCCGGUGGUAGCUGGUCCACUACAGGACGCUGAGGUGCGGGAGGUCCCUCCGCCCCCCCCUGGACAUCGGGGGGGCCCCGGUGUACACAGUCCGGGCCAUCCUGGACUCCCGACGUCGGGUAGGGGGCCUGCAGUACCUCGUGGACUGGGAGGGGUACGGCCCGGAGGAGAGGUGCUGGGUUCCGGUUCGGGACAUUUGUGAUCCAGCUAUGCUACAGGAGUUUCAUCGUCUCCGGCCGGCCGGAGCGGCCGGCGCCUCGCCCUCCGGGUCGUCCCCGAGGCCGACGUUGGCGCCCUGCGGGAGCCGCGCGUCAGGGGAGGGGUACUGUCACAGUAUCCACCGAGGAUGGCGCCCCUCCUCGGUCGGCCGGCGCUCGGCGGUCGUCGUCGCCGGUCUACUAGCUACCACCGAUCUAUGUUUCCGUGUUCUUUGGUUUUUGUCUGCUCUAGCCCGCACCUGUCUCUUGUCUGUCAUUAGUGGGGAGGUAUUUAGUUUUUUUCUUUGGGUUCGUCUUUGUGCGGGAUUGUUUGUUUGUCAGCGGGCAGGUCUGUGUACGUUCUGUGCUUUUUGCACAUUUUUCCCCAGCGGAUUCUCGCUGGAUGAAUAUUGCAUUUGCCGGGCUGCGCCCCGUGAGUAUUUUUGUUUACUGUGUUCCCGUGUGGUCUCUGGACGCACCCUAUGCCCUUUUGUUACGCC